GUGUUCCUUUAACUUUCUCUCGGCACUUUCUCUCUCGGGGGAGGGGGGGACACAAAGGUAUACAUCUCGGCCUUCUCUUCUCAACUAGAAACUGAUCGGUGGUCGUGGCCUCUCUUUGUUGACCACCGGUCUCCGCCGCAAAUCGCAAACACCUUGGUCUUCGGCCUGACCACUGUUAUUUCCCUCUCCUCUCGGUAAGAAGGAUGUACAUUCAAGCUGCAUCGUGAAGAGAAAACAAAAGGGUGUGUGAUCGCUAAGUCGAGCAGCUCGUUUCAGGUUGAUUGCUACGGACCUUGCUCCAUUCUAGGCUUCUAUGUCAUCACUACGUCCCUGUCAGUCACUUAUCAAGCUACAUUUUGGGUAUAUGCAUGUUUUGAUAGACUGUAACACGUCCCGAUUUGACUUUGUGUCUUGGGUUUUUGAUGUGUAGUGAUUUGUCUAUAGCUUAUGGGCAUAUUGACAUGGAAAUGUAUAAUCCCUAAACUUUUGAAUAUUAAUUUUUGCAUGAAUCGUGUUAGUUGGUACA